GGAGGGUUAGCUUAGUGGUUAGAGCUUAGGUCUUGUGACCGGAAGUUCCCGGGAUCGAAACCCAAUCCCAUCA
rnacentral:tRNA from 1 species